rnacentral:rRNA from 1 species
UAGGGAAUCUUCCGCAAUGGGCGAAAGCCUGACGGAGCAACGCCGCGUGAGUGAUGAAGGUCUUCGGAUCGUAAAACACUGUUAUUAGGGAAGAACAAAUGUGUAAGUAACUAUGCACGUCUUGACGGUACCUAAUCAGAAAGCCACGGCUAACUACGUGCCAGCAGCCGCGGUAAUACGUAGGUGGCAAGCGUUAUCCGGAAUUAUUGGGCGUAAAGCGCGCGUAGGCGGUUUUUUAAGUCUGAUGUGAAAGCCCACGGCUCAACCGUGGAGGGUCAUUGGAAACUGGAAAACUUGAGUGCAGAAGAGGAAAGUGGAAUUCCAUGUGUAGCGGUGAAAUGCGCAGAGAUAUGGAGGAACACCAGUGGCGAAGGCGACUUUCUGGUCUGUAACUGACGCUGAUGUGCGAAAGCGUGGGGAUCAAACAGG